AAGGAUARUAUACGGAAUAUCACCUUUAGGUGAUAAGCGGAUUAGCGUGACAUAUUGUAUUCAGUUUUGAAUGCUCAUUAUUUGAGGAUUCAACUAAAAUAAUAGAAUUUGUAUUGAAAGUAUUUGCUAACGCAAAUAAGUUUAAAACAAUUUCGUUGUACAUUGAAAACUAGAUAAGUAAGUAUAAAUGAUUUUACCAAGCAAAAACCGAGUGAAUAGCGAAAGCUUGAAACUAAAAAAUUAUCGCUAGUCGUCAAAUGACGACUCACAUAAUUAAUAACACAGUUUUGAAUUGAAAACGCUUGUCAGUCUAUAAAUCAUGAACAAGAGCGAGUGCGCUUACUAUGUGUAAGUAAUCGAGYGAUUGUGAAAUGAUGAAGCAGAAUGCGAGCGAUUGUCAAUCAAAAGUA
rnacentral:misc_RNA from 1 species